rnacentral:rRNA from 1 species
CGGCGUGCCUAACACAUGCAAUUCGAGCGGAGAUCAAGGAGAGCUUGCUCAAAUUGAUUUAGCGGCGGACGGGUGAGUAACGCGUGAGCAAUCUGUCCUACACAGGGGGAUAACAGCUGGAAACAGCUGCUAAUACCGCAAUAAGACCACAGUGCCGCAUGGCACAAGGGUCAAAGAUUUAUCGGUGUAGGAUGGACCCGCGUCUGAUUAGCUAGUUGGUGAGGUAACGGCCCACCAAGGCGACGAUCAGUAGCCGGCUUGAGAGAGUGAACGGCCACAUUGGGACUGAGACACGGCCCAAAACUCCUACGGGAGGCAGCAGUGGGGAAUAUUGCCACAAUGGGGGAAACCCUGAUGCAGCGACGCCGCGUGAGUGAUGAAGUAUUUCGGUAUGUAAAGCUCUAUCAGCAGGGAAGAUAAUGACGGUACCUGACUAAGAAGCCCCGGCUAACUACGUG